rnacentral:rRNA from 1 species
GUAAGGAAUCUUCCACAAUGGGCGAAAGCCUGAUGGAGCAACGCCGCGUGCAGGAUGAAGGCCCUCGGGUCGUAAACUGCUUUUAUGAGUGAAGAAUAUGACGGUAACUCAUGAAUAAGCACCGGCUAACUACGUGCCAGCAGCCGCGGUCAUACGUAGGGUGCAAGCAUUAUCCGGAGUGACUGGGCGUAAAGAGUUGCGUAGGCGGUUAGUAAAGCGAAUAGUGAAACCUGGUGGCUCAACCAUCAGACUAUUGUUCGAACUCACUAACUCGAGAGUGGUAGAGGUAACUGGAAUUUCUUGUGUAGGAGUGAAAUCCGUAGAUAUAAGAAGGAACACCAAUGGCGUAGGCAGGUUACUGGACCAUUUCUGACGCUAAGGCACGAAAGCGUGGGGAGCGAACCGGAUUAGAUACCCGGGUAGUCC